rnacentral:tRNA from 1 species
GACCCGCUAGCUCAGUUGGCAGAGCACCUGCCUUUUAAGCAGGGAGUCGAAGGUUCGAAUCCUUCGCGGGUCACCA